AACAGGAUUAGAUACCCUGGUAGUCCACGCCGUAAACGAUGUCGACUUGGAGGUUGUGCCCUUGAGGCGUGGCUUCCGGAGCUAACGCGUUAAGUCGACCGCCUGGGGAGUACGGCCGCAAGGUUAAAACUCAAAUGAAUUGACGGGGGCCCGCACAAGCGGUGGAGCAUGUGGUUUAAUUCGAUGCAACGCGAAGAACCUUACCUGGUCUUGACAUCCACGGAAGUUUUCAGAGAUGAGAAUGUGCCUUCGGGAACCGUGAGACAGGUGCUGCAUGGCUGUCGUCAGCUCGUGUUGUGAAAUGUUGGGUUAAGUCCCGCAACGAGCGCAACCCUUAUCCUUUGUUGCCAGCGGUCCGGCCGGGAACUCAAAGGAGACUGCCAGUGAUAAACUGGAGGAAGGUGGGGAUGACGUCAAGUCAUCAUGGCCCUUACGACCAGGGCUACACACGUGCUACAAUGGCGCAUAUAAAGAGAAGCGACCUCGCGAGAGCAAGCGGACCUCAUAAAGUGCGUCGUAGUCCGGAUUGGAGUCUGCAACUCGACUCCAUGAAGUCGGAAUCGCUAGUAAUCGUGGAUCAGAAUGCCACGGUGAAUACGUUCCCGGGCCUUGUACACACCGCCCGUCACACCAUGGGAGUGGGUUGCAAAAGAAGUAGGUAGCUUAACCUUCGGGAGGGCGCUUACCACUUUGUGAUUCAUGACUGGGGUGAAGUCGUAACAAGGUAACC
rnacentral:rRNA from 1 species